rnacentral:tRNA from 1 species
GCGCCAGUAGCUCAGUUUGGAUAGAGCAACGGAUUUCUAAUCCGUAGGUCGCAGGUUCGAAUCCUGCCUGGCGUACCA